UACGUAGGGGGCAAGCGUUGUCCGGAAUUAUUGGGCGUAAAGCGCGCGCAGGCGGUUCUUUUAAGUCUGGUGUAUAAGUGCGGGGCUCAACCCCGUGAGGCACUGGAAACUGGGGAACUUGAGUGCAGAAGAGGAGAGCGGAAUUCCACGUGUAGCGGUGAAAUGCGUAGAGAUGUGGAGGAACACCAGUGGCGAAGGCGGCUCUCUGGACUGUAACUGACGCUGAGGCGCGAAAGCGUGGGGAGCAAACAGG
rnacentral:rRNA from 1 species